UUGUCUUCUCGGCAGUGCUCGGUGUCCUCACGCUUCCCUUCACGGUGUUCCCACUCGGAUUCCCUCUCCUCCUCGUGCUUGGGGAUUGGUAGCUGUCCCUCGAGCGUGCCAUGAGGAAGGGCGGUGGCGGUGAGCAGACGAGGAGGCUCACUGCACACAGUCCUGAGAGGAGGAGCCCGUGGUGCAGCGGCGGCGGUGUGUGGUGGCGGUAGAGCGCCAGUGAGCUGUACCUCUGGUGGAGAAGGACGGACGCGUGGCCCGCACAGCGCUACAGAUGUAGUUCGUGGGAGACCCUUCGUAUUGGUACUCGCAGCUGCCUUAUGCUCCCUUCACCCGAGGGUUCAGCAUUGUCUUUUCGAGCCUUGACGACCGCACAAAUCCUGUAGUUCAUAGUUUGCGAUUACUCUACUCUGCUGGAAAGCGAAAGAGGACCAGGAGAUGCUGUUGCCUCCGAAAGGAUAAAUCACUGUUGACAUUCCGGAACCUCCAUAUCGCGGGCGGUAGCGACUUCCUUCACUUUUUAGAUAAAAAAGGGCUCUUGUGACGACUACCUACGCUAUCGCAUUUCACAUUAACUUUACACGAAGUUAGGUAGGAACAGUUUUUAAAAGAUCAUCUAUCGAACCGAGGGCUUCCGCCUCCAACACCUCCCCCCUCUCCCUUAUCCCCUCUAUCGUCUUCCCGACUUCCGAAGUCUGCUAUCGUCUCGGGCGUAAGCGGAUCAUCUCGGCAUCGGGACGGGGUGGAGGACGGACGUGGCCUAGAGUUCAGGAUACGGCCCGUGACAGACGAGUGGACUCACUGCAAGAGGAAAAUGAAAGGAGGGCGUGAUUACGAAAGAUCAAGUGAAUCCAAAAAGCCGGAAUUUUAACAUGUGUCAGUAAAUCCGCAGGGAUUUACGAGUUGUAGGAUCUUAGAAAACGGAUAAUCAAUACUUGUGCCUAGAGGAGGCUCGCUCCCCUCCCCUACGGUGGACACUGGUUGCAUUAAGUGGAUUUUCCCUGAACUUAGCCAAGUGAUUUACAUUUUAAAGAUUAGUAGGUGAGGUUUGGCGAAGGAAUCCGAACACUAACGUCGUCGCUUUAGGAGAAGGGCGUCAAACUCCCGACACAUUCACUCUGGCCAUCUAAACUCAAGGAAUUAUUUGUACAAUCUCCAACACUGACCAGGCAAUAUUCUGACUGGAAUGAAGUUGUGACUUAGUGCCUUAAAAACUGUAUGCUUGUGUCAUUCCUCUUCUGCUACGCCCGUAUUCGUGUCAGUAAAGGAAGAUUUAGAAGGGAUCAGAGAAGAAAUUUCAGUGCGGAUUAGGAGUGCAUGAUAGUGUGCGAAGAGUCGAGUGUCGAGUGCAAGUCAGCAGCAGCAGAGAUAGAGCCCCUCCCACCGAAGGACCCCUGAUACCCACCAGGGACACCGAUACUCGCCAUGGGUGCACCGACAGCCAUGCGAGGGGAAGCGAUACUCGCCAGGGGAGCUUCUGUGCUUAGCGUGUGAAAAGGAACACGGAGAGAAGCCCGAACAACGGCGCCCAGGAGGGGACCUUUGCCUUUCUCACUCGAACGAGGAUCAGCGCGAAAGACGGGGGGGAAAGUCCGUGCGCGUUUGUGAGGAUCGUAAACAGCGUUCUGAGAGAAAGAGUGAGUGUGAAAGAAGAAAAAAGAAUAACAAACAAUUCGCAGCGGAACGCAAAGCUUGUGCGGUAUGUGGUGGGAUAGAGUGACGAGGGAUUUUGAAGUGUGAUAUAUAUGUGUUUUUUUUCUUCGUGUACGUCCAGUGUUGAUGGUAUAUAAUACCCGAGUUGUGUGUGUUGUGUGCCGAGGAUAAAGUUAAUACUUUGUGAUCUUGAGAUCAGACGCGAAGAAAUUCGGCUGUGUGUGUAUAUACUGUGUUGGAAACAGAAAAAAAUAGUAGAUUUUCGAUCAACUCGCCGUCAUGGGAGGCAACAGGAGAAAGCACAGGAGUGAUAGCCUCCUGUUGUGAGAAGCAGCCUGCCAAAGACAGCCAAGUGCACCAACUUUUUCUAUUCCUCCCACUCCCAUCCCCCUCUAUCUUCUGCGGCACCAACGUGGCAUGGUGUCUUUGGAGGUGAGGGACGGAUGAUGGUGCUAGCUGGUGAGGAGUAUAACGUCGUUACCUGCCAUCUUCACACGCUGGUGCAUGAGUGAUUUAGAGGAUGGGCCAGAAUAUGUGUUGCCCCAAGAAGGGGCCGCCACCCCCGAAUCACCCUGGGCCGUUUGACCACAUAGAUCCAGGCGAAAGAAUUGAGGUGACGCAAUUUUUACCUGCCAAUGGCAUUGCACGGGAAAAUGCCUAUUCCAGAACCCAGGUUGCCGUUACAACAAGCCAUAUUAAUGAAGGUAAAGCGGAUGGCAACGCCUCCAUGACACCACCACACGGUGGUGGAGGAAACCCUCGCUAUUAUCCAGACCCGUCCAGAGGCGGCAGACCUGCUUAUAACUCUCAACAACAUGGAGUCGAUGUUAUCCGGUCAAAUUCAGGACAAGGAUUGCCAGCCCAUGGUUGGGUUCAGCAGCACCAUGCAAGCCACAUGCGGAUGCGAAAGGAGUCGGUUAGGUGUUCGCAACGAUGGACACCCAGAUCCAACACUCCAGAACCAGUCACACCAUCAACGCCAUCGCGAGGCCGGGUCGUGGUGGCCAUGUACUCAUUCCAGGGUCGCAGCAAUGGCGAACUCACCUUUGAGAAGGGAGAUAGGAUGGAGAUUCUCAAUGAUGCUGAUGCUGACUGGUGGUUAGCACGACAUAUGACACAUGGCAUUGACGGCUAUAUUCCAAAGAACUAUGUUGCAUCCACAUCUUCGCUUGAGUGCCAAGACUGGUACUUUGGCAAAAUAGCCAGGAAAGAAGCAGAAAAAUUACUAAUGACACGGGGGAACUUAAGAGGCACUUUUCUCAUCCGUAUGUCGGAACAAUCUAGUCAUGGAUAUUCCCUAAGUAUAAGGGAUUGGGACCAACAAAAGGGAGAACAUGUUAAGCACUACAGAAUCAAGGUCACUGACAAUGGAGGCUUCUUCAUCACCUCAUCACAGGCUUUCCGGACACUCAAUGAUCUGGUGGAUGCCUACAAAAGAAACAACUAUGGGCUAGCAUGUCUCUUGCAAUACCCAUGUCCACGUCCACAACCCCAGAAAUGGGAUCUGUCACGAGAGACCAAAGAUCAAUGGGAGAUUGACCGUAAUACUCUUUCCAUGAACAAGAAGUUAGGACAAGGUUCCUUUGGUGAAGUGUGGUAUGGUAUGUGGAACAACUCUACAGAAGUUGCCAUCAAGACCCUAAAACAAGGAGCAAUGAGUCCUUCUGCCUUCUUAGAAGAAGCCAGAAUCAUGAAAAAAUUACGGCAUCGUAAUAUUCUUGUACUUUAUGCUGUUUGUACGAAAGAAGAACCUAUACUAAUAGUCACUGAGUAUAUGUGUAAUGGUGCACUGCUAGAUUUGCUCAGGAAUGAGGGAGAGCGCACCCUCAAACUCAAUGACUUAAUAUAUGUGGCAACACAGGUUGCUGCAGGUAUGGCUUACCUAGAGAGCAAACAGUUGUUACAUCGAGACCUUGCUGCCCGUAAUGUAUUAGUAGGUGAAUCUUUGACAUGUAAAGUGGCAGACUUUGGCUUAGCCCGAAUUGUGGAAGGAGAAGACUACUGCCCAAGCACAUGUAAUAAAUUCCCUGUCAAAUGGACAGCACCUGAAGCCAUGCUGUACAACCGCUUUACUAUCAAGUCUGAUGUCUGGUCAUUUGGUAUUCUACUAAUGGAAGUGAUUACCUAUGGUGCUAACCCAUACCCAGGAAUGAAUAACCGAGAGGUCAUAGAGAAAGUCCAGAUGGGCUACCGAAUGGCCAAGCCUCCACGAGCUCCCGAUGAGUUAUACGAAGUGAUGCUACAUUGCUGGGAUAAGUAUCCUGAUCAACGACCUACCUUUGACUACUUGCAUCAUUUCUUCGAUGACUACCAGGUCUCCUCCGAAAUACCCUAUCGCGACAUCCACGACUAAUAACAACAUGACCCUGCCUGACCUCCACCCUCUAAUUCAGACCCUCCCAGGCCAGGACAACCUGGGUAAAAAACAGUCAGGAUGAGCAAUCGAGAGGUAACUGAAGUAGUUCCGAGCGGGUAUCGCAUGAGUAAACCAGUCUCCAAAUACUGCCCUGACCAGCUCUAUGAGCUCAUGUGUCAGUGCUGGAAACUGGACCCCAUAGAAAGACCAACAUUUGUUCACUUGCACGACUUCCUCUGGAACUUCGACAUAAGCAUAGAACGAGCAUAUGAGCCAGCUGCGGCAGCCUUCUAGUGCUUGUCUGAUUAUCUGGGGAGUACUCACUUGCAUGGCUCUAGACUAAAAUUUAAUAUAUACUUUUCGAAGGUCAUAUAUUUUUGGAUUAAUUUGAUCAUGAUUGGGGGAAGGGGAGUUAACUGAGCUGUAAUCCUGUUCACUGCAAAGGGCAUUUUAUAGCAUUUUGUUCAAAGAUAUUAGUAAGUGUUCCUUCAACAGAAAUGCAAAUGUUUGAGAGUAUGUUAAUACAAAAUGCCUUAUAAUGCCUUCUUUUUAUAAUUGUAGACUCAAAGUUAAAUACAGUUUUGCGUGGAAAAUUAAUUCUUUGCUAAGCAUUCCAUGUUAGUUUAAGAAUCAAACUGUAUAGUUUGUUUAUUGUAAUAUAAAGUCAGUUCUUUAUUUAUGC